AUGGCUUUUGCUUCUUCCUCUACAGAAUCCCAUGUCCUCCCUCACAUAGCAAUCUUCCCCUUCAUGGCCAAGGGCCACACCAUCCCGCUCAUCCAGCUUGUCCACCACCUCCGUCGUCGCCGCCUCGCCACCGUCACCUUCUUCACAACCCAUGGCAACGCCGCCUUCGUCCGCGAGGGACUGUCCGGCGCCGACGACACGGCCGUCGUCGAGCUCGCGUUCCCCGCCGACGCCUCGGCAAUCCCGCCUGGAGUGGAGAGCGCCGAGGGGCUCACGUCCAUGGCCUCCUUAGCCGCCUUCGCAGACGCCGUGUCGCUGCUCCAGCCACAGCUCGAGGCGUCGCUCGCCGCCAUGGAGCCUCCGGCCAGCCUCCUCCUCGCCGACGCGUUCCUGUACUGGACGAACGCGUCGGCGGCCACGGUCGGCGUCCCGAAGGUGUCGUUCUUAGGCAUCUCGGCGUUCGCACAGGUCAUGCGGGAGCUGCGCAUCAGCCACGAUCCGCUCCCGGCGCUGUAG
rnacentral:rRNA from 1 species